CUACGGGGGGCAGCAGUGGGGAAUAUUGCACAAUGGAGGAAACUCUGAUGCAGCAACGCCGCGUGGAGGAUGACACUUUUCGGAGCGUAAACUCCUUUUAUAUAGGAAGAAGAUGACGGUACUAUAUGAAUAAGCGCCGGCUAGACUCCGUGCCAGCAGCCGCGGUAAUACGGAGGGCGCAAGCGUUACUCGGAAUCACUGGGCGUAAAGAGCGUGUAGGCGGAUUAAAAAGUCAGAAGUGAAAUCCUAUAGCUUAACUAUAGAACUGCUUCUGAAACUCUUAAUCUAGAAUAUGGGAGAGGUAGAUGGAAUUUCUGGUGUAGGGGUAAAAUCCGUAGAGAUCAGAAGGAAUACCGAUUGCGAAGGCGAUCUACUAGAACAUUAUUGACGCUGAGACGCGAAAGCGUGGGGAGCAAACAGGAUUAGAUACCCCUGUAGUC
rnacentral:rRNA from 1 species